CCUCAUUGAUACAGGACGAGGAGCUAGUUUUCCUUCGUUUUUGAGGCCGAGGAGAUUCUUCUGGUUUAUUCUGCAGAGAAGCAGAACUUGGUUUGAGUCAUCUUCUAUUCAGAAACAACAGUGCAAAGUUUUUAUUUGUUGUUUAAGCUUAACAUUUGGUGCAUUAUUUGAAUCUUCGGUAAAAUUAAUCAAUAAAUUGAUAAUCCGCUUCAAAUUUAUCGAGAACAAGACUUUAUAUGCCU
rnacentral:lncRNA from 1 species